rnacentral:rRNA from 1 species
GCAGUCGCCGCGGGAAAACGGAAGGUCCAGGCGUUAUCCGGAUUUAUUGGGUUUAAAGGGAGUGUAGGCGGUCUGUUAAGCGUGUUGUGAAAUUUAGGUGCUCAACAUUUAACUUGCAGCGCGAACUGGCGGACUUGAGUGCACGCAACGUAUGCGGAAUUCAUGGUGUAGCGGUGAAAUGCUUAGAUAUCAUGACGAACUCCGAUUGCGAAGGCAGCGUACGGGAGUGUUACUGACGCUUAAGCUCGAAGGUGCGGGUAUCGAACAGGAUUAGAUACCCCAGUAGUCCCUGUCUCUUAUAC